rnacentral:lncRNA from 1 species
GGAUGUUCAUGGAGAGUGCAGAAUCCAAGCCUGUAAAGAAAGUGAAUGAAAUAUUCUUGACGCAAGUGAUAAAGAGCUUGUUAGUUAGUAUCUGAGGUUAUAAGUUUGAAUCCUAGUUGAUUCACAUUUCUAACUAAGUUUAUUUUUAAAUGAAAUAAAACAAAAUGGGUAACAUGCUACCUAUCUCUCUCUCAAAAAAAAGAAAAGAAAUAUCUUUCAAGAGUUUGUAGAGUAG